rnacentral:rRNA from 1 species
UACGGGGGGGAGCAAGCGUUGUUCGGAUUUACUGGGCGUAAAGGGCGCGUAGGCGGUCAGCACAAGUCAGUUGUGAAAUCUCCGGGCUUAACUCGGAAAGGUCAACUGAUACUGCGCGGCUAGAGUGCAGAAGGGGCAACUGGAAUUCUCGGUGUAGCGGUGAAAUGCGUAGAUAUCGAGAGGAACACCUGCGGCGAAGGCGGGUUGCUGGGCUGACACUGACGCUGAUGCGCGAAAGCCAGGGGAGCGAACGGG